GGAAGGAUCAUUACCGAGUGCAGGUCUGCCCCCGGGCAGGCCUAACCUCCCACCCGUGAAUACCUGACCAACGUUGCUUCGGCGGUGCGCCUCCCCCCCGGGGGGGGCAGCCGCCGGGGACCACACCGAACCUCUUGUCUUUAGUGUUGUCUGAGCUUGAUAGCAAACCUAUUAAAACUUUCAACAAUGGAUCUCUUGGUUCCGGCAUCGAUGAAGAACGCAGCGAACUGCGAUAAGUAAUGUGAAUUGCAGAAUUCAGUGAAUCAUCGAGUCUUUGAACGCACAUUGCGCCCCCUGGCAUUCCGGGGGGCAUGCCUGUCCGAGCGUCAUUGCUGCCCUUCAAGCCCGGCUUGUGUGUUGGGUCGUCGUCCCCCCCGGGGGACGGGCCCGAAAGGCAGCGGCGGCACCGCGUCCGGUCCUCGAGCGUAUGGGGCUUUGUCACCCGCUCGAUAAGGGCCGGCCGGGCGCCAGCCGGCGUCUCCAACCUUCUAUUUU
rnacentral:misc_RNA from 1 species